rnacentral:rRNA from 1 species
AUUGAACGCUGGCGGCAGGCCUAACACAUGCAAGUCGAGCGAAUGAGGGAAGCUUGCUUCCCGAUUUAGCGGCGGACGGGUGAGUAAUGCCUAGGAAUCUGCCUAUUAGUGGGGGACAACGUUCCGAAAGGAACGCUAAUACCGCAUACGUCCUACGGGAGAAAGUGGGGGAUCUUCGGACCUCACGCUAAUAGAUGAGCCUAGGUCGGAUUAGCUAGUUGGUGAGGUAACGGCUCACCAAGGCGACGAUCCGUAGCUGGUCUGAGAGGAUGAUCAGCCACACUGGAACUGAGACACGGUCCAGACUCCUACGGGAGGCAGCAGUGGGGAAUAUUGGACAAUGGGCGCAAGCCUGAUCCAGCAAUGCCGCGUGCAGGAAGAAGGCCUUCGGGUUGUAAGGCACUUUAAGUUGGGAGGAAGAGUUGUAAGCUAAUAUCUUGCAGCUUUGACGUUACCAACAGAAUAAGCACCGGCUAACUCUGUGCCAGCCGCCGCAGUAAGAC